CCCCUCGCCCCGCCGUGCGCCCUGCAGAGCGGCCCCGCCCAGGCCAGGGGGCGCCGGUCCGCCCCGCCGAGGAGGGCAGCGGAGCCCGGGGAGCAGGCCUCUGCAGGGGCGCGUGCACGGACCCCCCCCCCCCCGGGAGCGCAGGGAGAAUGUUCUAGGAUCGUCGGCCGCGAGUCAUCAUUCCGCACGUAGUGAACGGCCGCCCGCCGCUGCCCUCUGCGCCCGCUGCCCUCGGCGCCCGCUGCCCUCUGCGCCCGCUGCCCUCGGCGCCCGCUGCCGGCCUCCGCCCCGCGAGCCCCGCGCGGGGGCCGCAGCUCGCCGGCACCGGGCUCGCGGGCGCCGGGGUCCGCCGCGGUGAGCACGCCCGGGAUCCACCCUGGGCUCGAUGCCGUGACACAGGAAACAUCUGGGAGUUUUCGCCGGGCGUUUGGGAAAGUACUCACUUCCGAACUCGGCGCUAAGGAAGCAGUUGGAGGCUCCACCGAGUAGGCCUUUCGGGAGCAGAAUCUACUCCAGGAAGGCGCUGUGAAGAUAGGUGGGCGAUGGAGACCUGAGCCCAGAAGCUGCAACUUGCCGGGGACCGAGAGCUGGUGGUGGUAGCGUUGAAACAUUAUCAUAUUCAAAGAUGUUAGGUCGCGUUCCGCAUUGUGCAAUGACAUUUUCCUGUUGGUAACUGCUCCCAUAGUUUGGUCAAGAUAGCUGGCUUGUAUCCUCAGGCCUUAGCAUACUCCAUGUACAGGGACGCUUACUAUAUAGUUACCGAAUGAAGACUGAACACACUAAGUCGCGCUAUGGCUGUCAAUCCACUUUUUAAUUUCUGUGAAGGAAGAUUCGGUUGCAAAAUUUUUCUUUUUACUAUUAUUUAGACCACUGUUUCAGUUUUUUGUUUUUUGAGAGAAUAGUUGGCUAAAGUUCAGUUUGUUUCAAGAGUUCUCUAGGGGAAUCUCAGAAUGUUCCGGGUCAUAAAAAUCAUCCAGUUUAACUUGUGGAUUGUCCUAAAGAUAACCUGAGACCCAAAAAAGGUAAAAGUUACUGGCCCAGGGAGCGUAGCUGAUCUGGGACUGGGGAAGAAGCCCCUUUCCCAUGCUUGGUGCAGGCUGCCUCACCAUCCCACAUUGCCCAUCAGUGGAGGAACAAGCUGGCUAACUUCCUUUUUUCUCCCUCAUUGAUUAAGUGGACUCCUUUCGUCACCUCUGAAAAAUGAACUCAGGAUAUUAUCCUUUGGCAAAUUUACAUGCAGAGUUAGUAUUAAAGGCAGGGGUGAGUUCUUUGGACUCCCAUUUAAAAGAAGAUCCAUGCUGUCGCCAGAACAUGCAGCUCUUUCUAACACAAUAUUGAUGGUGGGGGAAGGAAGCACAGCACACAUGGAGCUAAUUAAAAAUGAAUCAUCAAAUCUUCCAGCUUUCUUGUGACAGACAUGAUAUACACAGAGACCAGUGGGCAAUUACACUUCCAAUAGUCAGAAAAUGUGCUGUAGACCUCCGUUUGCCAUCAACCUGCUGGAUGUUUGGUCACUCAGUUGGUUUCACUACUGUUUUUCCCUCUGUCUCUGAUUGUGUGUUUCUCUAUAUAUGAAUAUACAUAAAAUAUAGAUAUACAGUGGUACCUCAGUUUACAAACUUAGUUUGUUUUAUGACUUUGGGGAAGAUGGCUGCAGUUGUGUUUAUCACCUGAUGUGGAAUCUGCAAAGGGAAGCACGUCUUUGUCAAAAGCUUUUGCUUGAGAACUGAGUUGUUUGUGAACAGAAGUAUUUGUGAACCAACGUAUUACAAUAUAUGGGCAUAUACAUUUAAUUAUUCUUAGCUGGAAAAGUUGAUAAUAUUCUCUUUUGGGUACAUAAAUCUGAUGUGAGUUCUCAUGUUUGCUCAUUAUAUAUGUCAACAUUCAAAACAAAUUCAGUGAUUUCCUUACUCACGUUACAUGUAAGCAGAAUAGCUACCAGAACCUUGCUGAUUUCUAAUGUGAAGUAGUGAGAAUGUCAAACUUAGAAAAGGCUUUCAAGGUGCACCAACCCCUUCGACUUGUGGUCCCGAGAGCUAAAUUUCUGAAAUCACAUGGCUGGAGAGCCUACUUAGGGCUGUAUUCCUCUAAAAAAGUGACUGAAGGGCAGACAUAUAUGUGCUACUGCUUUUUCUGCUUCAAUCAUCUUCGGUUCUCAUUUGCACUCAGACCAGGAAAAAUGGCCAGGAUAUAAUUCACUCAGGUUCAGGCACAUCAUUUAUUUCUUUAUUUGUAUUUGUUUGUUGGUUGGAUUUUUUAAAAAAAUAAUUUUUUUUAAUUUUAAAGUGAAUAAAACCAAGCAAAAUAAAACAAUAAAGCCCAUUAAAGCAAAACAGUGCAAGUUACACAGGACUUCAAAACAAGAUAAUAGGCAAUCAACAAUGGCUGCCAUAAUGCCUCUUGCCAUCUUCAGAACAGCUGCCCAUACCAUCAGAGAUCAAAAAACAAAGUCAAACAAAACAGGACAGUACAUACCAAUAAGAACAAAACAUGAACACAAUACAUGACUUCAAAGUAAGAUAAUGGUUGGUUUGGAGUCAGGACUUCUCUGUGUGGUCAGGUCUCAAAGCUGGUUUGAACUCAUGUAGCUCAGCCUGGCCUCUGGUUCCUUCCUGGACCUUCUCUUCUGCGUGCUGGGAUUGGAGGUAUGGGUCAUCACAUCUGCUCAAGGAGCACAAAUUCAAAACAAACUCAGUACUGUUUCAUGUGAGUGAUGCUUCUUUUUUUAUUAGUGCCCAGCAAUUAUACAAUAUAAAGGGUUGUACUGUGACAUUUUACACAUGUAUGUAACCUUUUCAUUCUGUUCACUCCUCCAAUCCCCUUCUUUAUUCUCCCUUUCCUGAUUCCCUUGAUCUUCUCUAACAGACUGCCUUUUACUUUCAUGUCAUUUUUUUGGAGUGGGGUGGUGCUUUUUUAAACAUAUCUGCUUUACUGUGUUAGACUUGAGCUCUUAAGAACCACUAAGACAAUGGGUCCUCUAAUGAGAGCUACAGUCCCAAGUCUCACUUGUUUUUAAAAUUGAGCUUGAUGUAAAAGAGACACACAUUUCUACUCAAACCUUUAAAAAAAGCAAAUUAAAUUGAAUGAAUGUUCAUAAUAGUAUUCAGCUGAUUCUCUUCCCUUACAUAACUCCCAAUUCACAUAUAUUGGGGAUGAUGACAAGAAUUGUGCUCUGUAUUAUAGAAUAGGAUAGUGGAGGAGCUAACAAGAAUUAUCUACCAUUAAGAAUAAAGUAGUAGAACUGGGUGGCACAUACCUGAAAUCCCAACACCAGAAGGCUGAGGUAGGAGGAAUGUUGUGAGUUCAAAAUCAGCCUGGGCUACAACACAGUGAGUUGAAGGCCUACCUGAACUACACAGUGAGACCCUGUGUCAAAAAGAAAGAGGGGUCCAGGGAUUUAGCUUCAUGGCAUAAGCUCCUGCCUGGCAAGUGCAAGGUUGAAAGUUUGAGAGAGAGAGAGAGAGAGAGAGAGAGAGAGAGAGAGAAGUAAAGCUGUUCUUAUUUGCUCUGCGAUGGCUCUAGUGCUGUCUACCAUGUUGAAAGUGAAGUCUAGGACACCUCUUCUCUCAUACCCACUUCUUUCAGCUGGGCUAGAAUCCAGUGUAUUUUAGAGGAACACUCAUGAUCUGUUUUUCCUGGGUGUGUGGUGGGCCAAGAGGCUUCUUUGCACUGCAAUCAUCUUUUCCUGUGUCACCUUCAAGAUGGGGACACUGAUGACUUGGGCAUUGAAAUAACCCCAAGUAGCACCAUGUCUGAGAGACCCUCCCUUAGCAGAGACUUAGUGGGAGAAGGGGCUCCCAGCCUUUCCAGGACAUGGUCCUGGGCAAUAGCAGAGCUAAGAAUUCAGCCAGUAGACAGGGGGCCUUCUGCAUCUAAGUGUGGGGAUUAUUUAAAUAACUCGUCUUUGCCAUAGCUAAGCAACAUAGGAAAAUGAGCUCUUUUCAAUGUAAUCCUCAGGUCUUGUUUUGGACCUCUUUUGUUUUUAAGUGAAACCCUCUCCUUGGGCAAUAAUUAUAACACUUUUUGAGGUGGUUGUGAGGAGUAAAUGAGAUAAUCUGCUAAAAGUAUUUUGUACAAUGUGAGACACAUAGCACUUAAGGUACAUUAGCAAGCCUUGUUAACUGAGGUUAGCUGUGACUUCAGCUGAUGUUGAUGGCGUGUCUAUUCAGACCUCUUCUUGGAGGUCUAACUCCCUACUCAAGGACAUUUCCAUGUAGAUAUAAUUCAAUUUUUAAAACUCAGUAUUUAGAACAGAAUUUCUUUCUAGCCCACUGAAUACUCGUAAUGCAUGCCCCUGGACUAUGUGAACUGUGCCCUCUUCCAUCCAGUACUUGGGCCCAUCACCUGCCAGUUGUCACCAGGUACUUCUAAAUAGCUUUCAACUGCACUGUGUUUUUUUUUUCCUGCCUCAACAAUGAUUCUGAGCUUUGCCUGGUACUGAGGACUGAGUGCUAAGCUACAUCCCUAGGCAUUUUUAUUUUCUAUAUUUUUAGACAUAGUUUCAAGUUUCCCAGGUUGGCCUCACUCAGGAUUCUCUUGCAAGUGUGCAGCACCAAGCCUGGCUUGCCUGCAUCAUUCUGUCAUUUGUCCCACCACCAGUGCCCCAUCUACUCUGUUCCCAGGGCAGCUCUUUACAUUGUGCAUUGUGCAUCACACACUGUCACGUUUGGUCAUAUAAUUUCUCUACUUGCAAUCUCCCUUUCCCUGUUCCAUAGACUUGAGGAAAACCUAAACGCUGCGCAUGUAAUAUUCAUGAUGAUCUGUAGUCUCCUUUCUCACCACUCUCCCUGCAUACACGAUAACUUGUAUCUCCGCUGAACUACACCGAACACUCGUAGAGCCUUUCACCUUUGUGUCUGUUCAUGUGUGUCCCUUAAGCCUUGGCUGUUCCUCUCUUCUUUCCAGUGGACUUUAUCCCAACUGUCCUUCAGGAUUUAGCCCAAGUGUCUCCUUUUCCUGGAAACCUUCACCCAGCCCCAGCAGAGUAUAAUUUUUCCUCUUCUCCACUAACUGUGAGUUUUUUGAGGGCAGUGGAGUGUUUCUUGCCUCUUUAUGACCACCAUGCCUUAGUGUCUGGCACAUGGUAGGUGUCCAUUGUACAUCUUAUGAACAUGAUAAUAACCCAGCAUUGCAAUUGAGGGCAUUGGUUCUAUUAACAUUUAUCAUCAAAAUCUGCAGAAAGUUUUCCUUUUUGAGUUUAGUUUUCUCACGUGUAAAAUGAGGGUUAAAAAUGCCCUCCACAUGAGGCAUGGUGGCAAACACCACCUGUAACCCCAGCACUCAGGAGGCUGAGCCGGGAGGAUCACAGUGAGUUCAAGGCCAGUCUGAGCUACAUAAAAUUUUAAAAAUGCUCUCUAAUGAUGUGAGGAAUAAGUUAAAAGUGAAUGCAAACUUGUAAACCAAGUAGCAGCAGCAUACAUGCAUCAAUUGUUAUAACAAAUUGUUAUAACAAAUUCCUAUACAUGCAUAUAAGCAUGUGUACAUACCUGCAUGCAGUAUAUAUAUGUUUGCUGUACAUAUGUUUGUGUUUAUGUUUCUGUAUGGUUAUGUGGAAUGAAAAGACAGUCUGCAAACAGCUUUCUCUAGAUUCCUGUCUCUAAAAGGCAGCUGAAAUAGAUUGAUAAUGUAUUCUGAUAACUUGUGCAGAUUCAUUAGAUGGAGUGAUUUGUGGUCUCCCGUUAAGUCAUUCAAUGAACCCAUUACACCCAUACACACCAACAGUGUAAAUUCAUAAGGCACUGUAUGGGUCAUAACAGCUCAUUCUCAUUCUUCUCUAUGACUAUGUUACCUUGCUAAGAAAAUAGCAAAGUCAAAGGCACUUUCCCUCCACUUUUUCAUUUGACUUCCUCUCCAGUCCUUUGGAGUAGUUACUGAAGGCCUGGGCGUCCUUGUCCCCAUUCUUUAUGUGAAAAAACCGAGGCAUAGGGGCCUCAUUUAAUCUGGCUUUUUCUGAAGUCUCGGCAGAGUGGAGAUCCAAAUCCUAGGAUGCCCUUUCUCCUGUCUUUCCUUUAGCCCCGCAUCGGUAUAGGGAGUUUGCACAAAACAAGGGGCGCUGCUCACCAGAAACAGAUCCGUGCUUCUUUCUAACGCUUUAAUUACCACAGUUACCUCUGCACUUUGGACUUGCUUUAAAUGCGAAACCCGCUAUUCUAAAGUCAGUAGCAAGAGCAGCUCCCAGCUCCCGACUGGAUAGUGGCCUCACUUUUCGCAGCGCAGGGCUUUCUCCCUGCGCCCCGCCAGUCCCGGGUGGAAAAGAGAGGCUUCGGCCCCUCCACCACCUCUACCUCCCGCCUCUGGUUCUUCUCUAGAAAGCCAGGUGGCGCCAGCUCUCAACCCCUGCUGGAGCUGCAGGGUUUCCUGGCUGGCUCAGAGUGCAGCGCGGAGGAGGUUGGAGGAGCACAGCUCCGGAUUGGCGCUUUCCGCGCGCGUGGAAACCUUUGCGUUCUUCUGCGCCCCUCGCAGGAUACGGCAGCCCCAAAGGAAAGCGGAGUGUCCUGUGUGCCACAUGGAGCUUGGGGAAAGGAAAUGAUUAAAGCCGUGAGGUUUCCUGGCUCUUCACGGUGUUUACGUUUUUCAAGACUUUCAAGCUGGAUAUGGUGACACAUGCCUGCAGUCUCAGGAAGCCGAGGUGGAGGAUUGCCUUGAGUUUGAGGCCAGCCUGGGCUACAUAAGUGAGUUCAAGGCCAGCCUUCACUACAUAGCAAGACCCUGUCUCAAAAAAACAACAAAAAUAAAAACUUCUUCAAGAUGGCAUAUAUUCAGUCUAAAAUCAUGGAAACAAGCCAGUAUCUACAUUUGACCUUUAGGCUGAGUUCAGAAACGAAGCAACAUAGAGUGCCGCAGAAUGGAACCAGAUCAGGGAAGCACUCUGUGUGGGUGAAGAGGGAGGAGUAAAAAAGAACAAGAACAAACAAGCUAAACCAGGAUAUAGUCCCCGACGGAAAUGCGAGGAAAACAAGAAAAUUCAGAAGUCUUAUAAACAGAUAAAGUCUCUAGCUGCUAGAAGAUUGGAGACUACCCAAACCUUGGUUUACCAGAGUACAGAAAAGUGAUGAAGACCAGGACUAGUAUUUUUUUUUUCCAGCAAGAGCUAGAAAAUCAUCAUGUGGGCUGUGCGGCUUUGAAAGAAAAGACCUUUCCAGUUCUUCACAGGUUGUGUGCUUUACUGAUGCCCUCCACCCCAAAACAUUUUGGGAAUGACAGAAGACAACCUAUCUCACAGAAAAUAGAAGACAAGAGGGAAAUUUUCUUGUUACUGGUAGGGAUGGAUAGUUUUUCACUUUUUCUAAGAAAGUUCUACAUAACCUUUAGAAGAAGCUCCAAGCCAGGCGUGGUGGUGUGUGCUGGUAAUCUCAGGAUUUGGGAGACUGAGGCAAGAGGAUUACAUUUAACCUUGGAUGGGAAAGUUUAGCAUAAAUCUGGGUUCAAUUUUUUAAAAUUAAAAAAAAAGUUGUUUUAAGCACAGCACUAGAAGUGUAUAUUAUGGUUUCUAUCUAGACUGUCCCAUGCACUCCUAGGUAGGGCUUUGGGCAUUACUGGAUCAUGAGUGUGCAGGACUGGAUCACAGGUAUGAGUAACUGGAUUAGUCCAUUGAUUGGUUUAGCACAGUUCUGGGUGUGGAUGAUGGGAAGACGCACUCUGUGUGGGUGGCAUCAACCAGUGUACUUUUAGCCUGAAUGGAAUAAAAAGGGAAAUAAAGGAAGCUUGGGGCUUUCUGCCUGCCCUGCCAUGGACUACUUCUCCUCCACCCUGCCAGGCUGCCUUGGAACCAGCUGACUACGGACAGAAACCUCUAUGAACUGUGAGUACAAUAAGCCUUUCCUCCUUUUACAUGAGGAAGAUGAGUAUUUUGUUCCAGCAAUGAGAAAGUAACUAAGACAUAAAUAUAGCUCAAUGCAAAGGUCCUGCGUUCAAUUUCCAAAACCAUUUCUCCUUCUCCCCACACAAACACAAAGCUCAAAUUUUAACAUCCAGCUGUUUUGGUCAAUUAAUUCCUCAUCAAUCUGUUUUUCAGCAAGAUUUCUUCAUUCUAGAAACUUCAGUGUGACAUGAUUCAUGAGAUAAGAAACGUAACAGACAUUGAACCACAGUUUUCAUCCAAAGGUAGCUUGACUGGAAGAGGCAAAGAGACAGUUUCCUAAGAUGCCACUUUUUAAUGUCCCAUCUGGACAGACUUCUCUUACAUGCAAUAUUGCGACUUUCAACUUAACAUUCUGAAGGAUUAGGCAGCCAGUUCCUCUCCUCUGUUCCAGGUAUUGAGCCUGCUGCUUCGUGAGCUGUCCUGGCUUUGAAACUCAGACUAACAACAUCUGCUCUCCUGACUGAGGAUCUUGGGACUUCUCAGCCUCCAUCAUCGCAUGGGCCAAUUCCUAAUAACAUAGAAUCUCCCAUGAUACAGAUACUGACUACCAGCCUUCAGGUCUGUGCACCAGUUAAAGGAGAAACUAGUCAAGAAAGGGGAGAAAGCCAGAUAAUAAGCGGUCAGCAUGAUUCUUGCUUUCAAAACUCAUUUCCCCCCUAUUAACUUCAGGAUUUGGUCCUCUGAUGUGGCUGGAUCUGCUCACAGACCACCAGAGUGUUCAUUUGACCAGGAAAUUUAACAUAAGAACUAGUUUCCCUAAACAUUUCUUUUACUCUGAAAUGAUUAUUUUAAAAUUUUUUAUUGGAUUAAAUGCUUAUUUAAACCAGGCAUGCUAGCUCACACCUGUAAUCCCAGCACUUGGGAGACUGAUGCAGGGGGAUCUUUUCAAGUUCAAGGCCAGCCUGGUAUCACAGGGAACCCUGUGAUAAAGUGACCUAUGCAACAGCCUGAACUGCAUAGGGAGAACCUGUCUCAAAAACAAAACAAUUGCUUAUUUAAAGAUGAUACUGGAGGAGGUGGGGAGGUUGGUGAGUGACCUAAGGAUCUAGGAGUAGUGGAUUUAAAAAAUUUGGUGUGAGCAGAAUUACCAAGUUUCUUUUAAUUAAAAAAUGAUAUUUUCCAUGUACACUUCUUUCUGUUUUCUCAUUAUUAUUAUUAUUAUUAUUAUUAUUAUUAUUAUUAUUUUGGUAGGACCUCAUGCUGUCAAGGCAGGUGCCCCGCCACUGUGCUAAAUCCCAGGCUCUUAUACAUUUUUCUAAGUACUUAAUUUUUACAGUCAAAAAUUAAUGGAACUUUCUUAUUUCAUCUUAACUCAUAUGACUUGAUCACUAGGGAAAAUACAUUUAAAGCCUUUUGUUCACAAGGUAUUUUUAAAAAUGUAUCCUAGAAUCUAUUGAUAUUUCAUGAGACAUUAAUUUUAGCCACCUUUUGAUACUGAAUUGUGGACAUAUCUGAUUUCUAAAAACUAUUCAAUAAAAUUAUAUUCCAGUGUAAAUAAGAUGAUUGUACUUCUAAAAAUUCCUACAAGGUUAAAAAAUAACAAAUUAAGGUCCUUAGGUUAGAUAAUUUCAUUGAGCCGUAACUAUAUUAAAAAGAAAUAGAGAGAAAAGUAAUUUGGCUUUUUUAAUGUUAUAUAAAACAAAAACUUAGUUUACUAAACAAAUGUCCUUACAGAGUCCAUUUGAAACAAAAAAUGGUAAAUCUAUUUUGGGCUUCAUUAUUUAAUUUGUUUCUAUGGGAGGAUAAUUUGUUUUUUCACAGUCAUUAUGAUCAUAAGCUCAAUGAAAGACUAUUCAGCAAAUCCAUAUGACUGAACACCAGGCUGCCUGUGCGCUGAUCUCAGCUAUUUAGAUUCUAAGCUACAUGAAGGAGAGAUAAUGCUUCCUUAAUCUGAGAUCCCUCAACCCCCAUCUGACUUGCCUGAAGGGUUGCAUGUAACAGGGACCCAAGUGAAAGUUUCUGUACCAUUUAAAAGACUUGUUUCCUUCUGUUCUUUUUAACAUCUUAUGCUAUCUAGUAAACAUAUUUUGACAUGAUUACCAGUGAUACCUGAAAGCAAAUUAAAAAACCCAAAAAUUCAGGGAGAGAAAGAGACAGGAAUCAGGCAGACAACUACCAUGACCUGUGCCCUGUCCACAGCUAUUUCUGUCUGAGUUCUCUAACCUGAGCUAGGGAUGCGCUGGUUCCCAGCAGAAGGGAGAGGUCUCUGGCAUCCUCUCUCCCUGGAGAGCAUGGUGUGUGCGCACACAUUCGGAGCCUGAGUGGCUCUGAGGCAGAGGUCUGUGGUAGUAUGUGCCUCUCAUAGUGGGAUAGUGAAGUUAAGCCACAGUACCGACAUGGUGUAGCCACAGUACUGACUUGGUGUAGCCACAAACCUUGAAGGAGCUGGAGAGUAACGCUUCCCUUUGAUUUACCCAAAUCCUCUUUUAUGGAGAACCUAUAAGUGGGGAGACAGUUUCUUCUCAGUUUGUGAUGGUUGUUGCAUUGGUGUUGGAUGCUCAGGGAAGAUUUUAGCCAAUAAAAAUUCUGUAGACAACAGUUUCCUUCCAACUGGUAGAAAACUACUGUUUGCAUCUUCAAUUUAUCUAAUUCCCCCAAAUCCUAAUUCCAAUAGGGAAUUUAUACAAUUUGAUUCCUAACAAAGCAAAAUCAUGAAUAUAUCAAAUUUGGCAUCUUACCAAUUUAAUGGAUUCCUAAUAUUUUUAAAUAGCAUAUAUCAUUUCAAUACUUUAUAAAAUUGUUGGGGGAUAAAUUGGCCGAGUCUCUAUUUUCUUUAAAAAAAUUCAUAACAAAGAAGUACUUUGCAUUUACUUUAUAUUAGUUUUACUUUUAGGACAAAAUUAUAUUGACUGAAUUCUUAAAGUAUUUGAUUAAUUACAGAAAAAAAAAUGUAUUAGAAAACUUUUCUUUGUCCUUUUUCCCUCUGGACGGUUCCUGAGAUUUUUAUUACUUACUAUUAAAGGACUUAAUUUAUUUUUCAUGGCCCAUCACCAAUAACCAAGAUAGUAUCCAGUUUCCUAAUUCUGAACUCUGCCUUGAGUAACUUCCAAACUAAAUAAAAUGAAAGUGUCUGAGGCAGUUUGUGUUUAUACACGGUGGCAAAGUUUACUUUGAGCAACAUGGAUCAAUGCUCUGAGAACACUUCCGCAUCUGCUCAGGCUGCUUCUGAGCUCGCUUCCGAUGCCCCGGGCAGAGGCUUGGACCAAGCGUGAGUUUUCAGGGCUGAGCAAAGCAAGGGGCUGCAGACACAAAGGGGCUAAGGCUCGGUUUCAUAGUUAAUGGUCGCCCCACAAUAAGCUCCUACAGCAUGAUGCACUGUGUCUCUAGAGGAAAAAAGUGUUUUUUUUUUUUUCUCAGUGGAUUUCAAAAGAAUGAAGUCACUUGUUGUGUCACUGAUGUGCACGACUCCACUGUGCAAGGGCGUUGUUCUGAUGCCAUCGAUUGCAAAAAGGAUAGUGCAAUCGCAUACUUCAAAAGCGUUCUGAAUCUCAGUCUCCUCCUUGUAAGCAAGUGUGGGAGAGAGAUUAGGAUGGAGCAUGCUCUCUGGGUCAUCUCUGAGAAUGAACCCCUAGCAGGGUCAGGGGACAGUCUUUCUCACUUCCUUUGAAUAUCAGUGUUGUCUAGUGUCCCCUAUAUGCCUGGUACACAGUGAACAUUCAGAAAGGAUUUCACCAGUGAAUGGGUAACCCGGUGUAUUUUAUAGACUAAACCAGGCUAAAUAUGCAGGGAACCAGUGUUUGGCUUAAUACCUAGACAUCAUUCUGUCAAUAUUUUCCAAUAAGUCUAUUUUUCCAAAUGUUUUUUCCAUUCUGGUCAGAUUAGUUGUAGAAAAUUUCCUUAUUCCCCUGAUGCUCUUAUAAUUUUAAAAAGCAUAUUCUUUUUUAGAUCAUUUCAAAAUGUUUUUCACUGAGCCCCAAAUUUGGCUAUUUUGCAUGACUUAAUGUGAUACACAUAAUUGAAACAUCAGAGCACAUGUAGCUUUCUAUUAUUUUAUUUAUUUAUCUAUUUAUUUUGUAUUUUUGAAAGAGGGUCUUGCUUCGCAGUUCAGGCUGGCCCUGAACUCAUUUUGUAACCUAGGCUGGCCUUGAACUUGCAGCAAUCCUCCUGCAUCAGUCUCCCUAAUGCUGUGAUUACAGGCAUGCACCAUCACAUCUGGUUCAUAGCUUUCAAAGUUCAGGUGAAACGGGGUUGAAACAGAUUUAGUCAAGCAGAGAUACUAAGCCUCAGAGGACCAUUUACCGUGACUGUUCCAGGGCUAAUAUUCAGCUCCAUCUGGGAGGGGUUAUGAGACUUACAGGCAAACGUCCAAGUUAUCAUCUUUUUAAAAUUGUUUGGCAAAGUUCUUCCAAAACAAUCCAAGACAAAAAUCUGGUCUUGGGUGACUAGUGAUUUUUGUCAACAAGUUCAGUCUUUUCUAUACUCUCCAUGGUCCUAUGAAUGCAAAAGACAACAGUUAAUACGCCAAGAUCACUGUUUUGUUCCUCUGAAUAUUCAUCUCCCUGGUGAAUUCAUUUGGUUUUAAUCUAGUCCAUCAAGUAGUUAUUUAGAUUAAAUUCUAUUAAUUCUUCCCCCCUACUCUUAAAAAUUAAUUAUACCGAUUAGUAAGCUUCAUUUGGGCAGUUUAGUAUGUGCACAUAUCACAUCUUGAUCAUUUUUACCCCACCACCACCCUUGCCCCCCACUCUCCCAGUUUCUCAUUUUUGAGAGGGAUUUUUUUGUUUGUUGAUUGGUUUGUUGGUUUUGUUUGUUUGUUUGUUUGUUUGUUUGUUUUUUUGGUGCUGGGAAUCUAACUCAGGACCUUGCGCUUGACAGGCAGGCACUUGUGCCGCUGAGCUAUAUCCUGGGCCUUUUGGUAGGGUUUUAAGGCAUAUAUUUUGCUGGUAUCCAUUUCCCCAUACCUGCUCCCACCCUAUUCCGCUCCCUCUUACUCUCUUCCUCUUGUCUAAUAACAGUCUCCUUUCUACUUUCUCUCUGUCUGUUUUAGAUUCCACCUCUUAGGGAGAACACGUGACAUUCAUCUGAGUCUGGCUUAUUUUUCUCAACAUGACAUUCUCCAGAUAAUGUUUCUCAACCCACACCCUAUGUGGCCCAUGGCUAUGGAACUCCCACUUAAAAGAGACUUACAACUGUGACUUCUUUUCAUAUUGGAACUUUGGUGUGUAUAGGUCAAGUCUGCAAAACAACAUCAACUUUCUCAUUAGCUCUGUUAAAAAUAUUUAGGUGUUUGAUUGCAUGGUGGUUUGCCAAAGUAGACCUUCAGUGAUGUUUAAGGGAAAUUGUGGAAAUCCUAAAGACCCUGGAUUGUGGAGACUCCUGAGAAUGAAGCAAGUCUGGGAAAUAUUUAAGGCCACCUGGGAUACAGUUGAUCACUCACUGGUCUUUAAAACUUUAUGAGAUGAAGUUGCUAUUUUCUUGGUGAAGUUCUUAAACCAGAACAUUGGAGGAAAAUCCACAAGUUUUGAGACAGAACUAAAAAAACAAAAGUCAAGGAGCUCUCUGAGUAAGCUUAUGAAUUUUCUCACUCUGCAAAUAAGUCUCAGAUUUUGUUUCAGUUUUAUUUUUAAAUUUUGCAUAUUCCUGUUCUGAUAACUGAACUUGACUUUCCUCAUCUAGAAAGUGGGAAUAGCAAAACUCUCCUCAUACUUGUUUGCUUGUUAUUAACCUUUUUCCUCUGAAAAAAACAAAAAGAAAAGGUGACUAGAAGAUCAGAGGCUGUCAGGGUACACACUGGAGUCUUGAGGGAUCUGAGAAGUUUGUGCUUUACUUCUUGUGUCUUUAGAGGACCAAAGAGAGCUUAAAUCUGAUCCUUAAACAUUCGUUGGAGAAACAACUUCAAAUAUUGUUCCGGAUAGAACAAUAUCAAAUAAAGGCAAAAUUUGACAUGCACGAGGCAUGUUUUCAGUUCCUCCCCCUUCCAAAUCUCAUGUCCCUUUUUCAUCCUGAGACGGUAUCCUUUCUUGGACAUCCACUGCCCUUUGGCAGCUCAUGGGUAUUCUGGGCCAGACCUUUCUCCUCUGAAGACACCUCGUGGCCCAGGCUAAUCUCUCUAAUCUCCCAGACGUCUUCAGCAUGACUUUCUUAAUAUGAAUCCACCUUUAGUUCUUAAAGAGAAGCUGAUAAGGCAACUCACUUAGGGGUUAAGUAAUUAGGAAGGGUUUUGAAGUUUUCCCUAUCCAACCGUCUCUGCAGUUCCUCUUGCAGGAAAUUUUAAGACUAAGGCACCACUAAGGAGUUUUUCCUAACCCCUGUCCUAACAGAAAUGUAAAAUGGUUUUCUAGUUGCCAAAGAGACAAAGCGAUCAACUGCCAAACCUUUCUCACCAGUGUUGCACUUCACCUCAUUAAUUGCCACCCCGAGCAGCCAGCUCAGAAAAGCUUUCUGAGAUCUUGACAGGGUUUGGGAAGAUCCCAUUACUAGGCUUCACAAAUGACCUCUUGGGAUAUUUCAGGCUUACAAAAAAGGAGGUGGGGAAUACACUGGUACAGAAAUGCUCUUUAAGGCAAUAAAUUGAAACUUAUCUGCCUAUAGGAGACACACACUGCACCGAAAGUGUUUCUUCUGCUUUUCUCUUAUUCUAUGCCAAGCAACUCAGAUAUUUCCAGUUAAAAAAAAAAUCCUCAAAAACUGCAGGUGGUAUAGUAAAGUCCCCAAUAAACAAAACCAUUCAGGUACACAGGUGCCUAUCUCAAAGUGCCUCCCAGCAGUCACAGUAGAGGAUGGAGGCCAGAUGCAAGCUUCCCAGGCUGGCUCUGGCACUGGAAACUCUAAGCAAACCAGGUAAAAUGUGUAAUCCUCACUGCAUUCCAGGGGAAAGGUUUUCAGUCGUGAAGACAUUGUAACAAGGUCCGUAGCAGAGGCACAAUGACUUUGUGAAAGGCAAAGUGUGUCCUGGAAGGCCAGCAGAUACAAACCAAAAAAAGAUUUUCUAAGUACACUCAGCAGAAAGGCCUUAUCAUCUGUCACAUUCUGAUAUUUUCAGCCACACUUGCGUACAAGGAUAACCGCAGUGUCAACAAUAUCAUCCCUGACUACAAAGGACAACAGUGACAAAUCUCAGGGCCCUUUGAAUUUGAAGAUAGCAUUGUCAACUACUGUGCAUGCCAGAUUUUUUAUUGUCAACAGGGCUUCUCGGGUUAUUUAUGCCUGCAAAGACUUGUAUUAUUAGAUCACCCCUCUCUUUUAGCUGCUUCUCCGAAAGUGAGACUGCUGUCAGCAGGAACAUGUUCUACAUUGCCUAUGCGACCAUAGAAAUUGGCAUUCCCAAACUUGAGCACUGGGCCUAUCACUCUUUUAACCUUGUUCCACUUUAGACUGUCUCUGUGAUUCCUUUGGGAUCUUAUCAAUGACACAAAAUGCUAUCUCACUCUUCAUUCUGGAAACUCUGAAAAUCUUCCAAAAGAAUAAAUCACUCUCUGAGACUUCGUAAAUGCCUGGUUCCAAAGUAUUCCUGCAAGAAUUUUUGAAGAACCUGCACAAGGAGGCUAUUGUACGCAUAUACAAAUAAAUGACACAAUCCAAUGGCUUAAUACUAUCUGCCAAGUUAAACUACCGCGGAGCAGCUGUGCACAUUUAAAAUGAUGCCUGGCACAACUGGAGAGCCAUAAAUCAUCAGCUGCAUACUUUCAUCCAAUUAAGAGAGUAAAAUAAGAAAGAAUCCACAAACCAAGAAGCGUCUAAGGACAUGGAUAAAAUCUUCAUUCCUCUCUGAGUGCAAAAAUAAAUAAAAAUAAAUUCUCAUUUUGCUAAUGCUAAAA